rnacentral:rRNA from 1 species
GACGAACGCCGGCGGCGUGCUUAACACAUGCAAGUCGAACGAUGAACCGGUUUCGGCCGGGGAUUAGUGGCGAACGGGUGAGUAACACGUGGGCAAUCUGCCCUGCACUCUGGGAUAAGCCCGGGAAACUGGGUCUAAUACCGGAUACGACACUCCGAGGCAUCUUGGGGUGUGGAAAGUUCCGGCGGUGCAGGAUGAGCCCGCGGCCUAUCAGCUUGUUGGUGGGGUAAUGGCCUACCAAGGCGACGACGGGUAGCCGGCCUGAGAGGGUGACCGGCCACACUGGGACUGAGACACGGCCCAGACUCCUACGGGAGGCAGCAGUGGGGAAUAUUGCACAAUGGGCGAAAGCCUGAUGCAGCGACGCCGCGUGAGGGAGGACGGCCUUCGGGUUGUAAGCCUCUUUCAGCAGGGAAGAAGCGAAAGUGACGGUACCUGCAGAAGAAGCACCGGCUAACUACGUG